AACCUGGCGCUGCCCUUACACAUGCAAGUCGAACGGCCAGCAUGAUCUAGCCUUGCUAGAUUGAUGGCGAGUGGCGAACGGGUGAGUAAUACAUCGGAACGUGCCCUGUAGUGGGGGAUAACUAGUCGAAAGAUUAGCUAAUACCGCAUACGACCUGAGGGUGAAAGUGGGGGACCGCAAGGCCUCAUGCUAUAGGAGCGGCCGAUGUCUGAUUAGCUAGUUGGUGGGGUAAAGGCCCACCAAGGCGACGAUCAGUAGCUGGUCUGAGAGGACGAUCAGCCACACUGGGACUGAGACACGGCCCAGACUCCUACGGGAGGCAGCAGUGGGGAAUUUUGGACAAUGGGCGAAAGCCUGAUCCAGCAAUGCCGCGUGUGUGAAGAAGGCCUUCGGGUUGUAAAGCACUUUUGUCCGGAAAGAAAUGGCUCUGGUUAAUACCUGGGGUCGAUGACGGUACCGGAAGAAUAAGGACCGGCUAACUACGUGCCAGCAGCCGCGGUAAUACGUAGGGUCCAAGCGUUAAUCGGAAUUACUGGGCGUAAAGCGUGCGCAGGCGGUUGUGCAAGACCGAUGUGAAAUCCCCGAGCUUAACUUGGGAAUUGCAUUGGUGACUGCACGGCUAGAGUGUGUCANAGGGGGGUAGAAUUCCACGUGUAGCANUGAAAUGCGUANAGAUGUGGAGGAAUACCGAUGGCGAAGGCAGCCCCCUGGGAUAACACUGACGCUCAUGCACGAAAGCGUGGGGAGCAAACAGGAUUAGAUACCCUGGUAGUCCACGCCCUAAACGAUGUCAACUAGUUGUUGGGGAUUCAUUUCCUUAGUAACGUAGCUAACGCGUGAAGUUGACCGCCUGGGGAGUAC
rnacentral:rRNA from 1 species